rnacentral:rRNA from 1 species
UACGUAGGGGGCGAGCGUUAAUCGGAAUUACUGGGCGUAAAGAGUGCGCAGGCGGCCGAGCAAGUCGAGUGUGAAAGCCCCGAGCUUAACUUGGGAAUUGCGCUCGAAACUACUUGGCUGGAGUGUGGCAGAGGAAGGUGGAAUUCCAGGUGUAGCGGUGAAAUGCGUAGAGAUCUGGAGGAACACCGAUGGCGAAGGCAGCCUUCUGGGCCAACACUGACGCUCAUGCACGAAAGCGUGGGGAGCAAACAGG